rnacentral:lncRNA from 1 species
ACUAUGGAAUACUACAUAGCCAUUAAAAAUAAUAAGAAAAGUAGAUAAUUUUAGAUAGAUCUAGAUAUAAAUAAGAAUAACAUGAAGUGAAAAAGUCCAUUUGCAGAACAGUAUGUGUAGUCUAAUUUUGAUUAUGAAAAGUGCAUACACAAAUAAAAGUGAAUAUGUAAAGAAACUUAAAGACACAUCUAUAUUUAAUGCAAUUAACUCUGAUGGAUAGCUGUUGAAGGCAUAGCAAGAACAUUCUUUCAUAUUCUUAUUCGUAUUGAUAUGGAGUGUGUUGAUUUUUGGCCAUAAACAUAUAUAUCUUUCAUUUAAACUUUUAUAAAGUGACCCCCUGAGUGAUUGAAAAUAUUAUUGACUCUAGAAAAUAUUAUUGACUUUUAUAUUGAUAAAUAAAAAUAUCUGCAUGGAUAAAAAGGUGGGCUUAGUGGCUUUUUAGGUGCUAAGUUUUCUUUCUGCUUUUCAUAUUUUAUUUGCCAGAUAUUCUAUAGUGAGUACUAUUGCUCCACCCAAAAUGUGUUGAAAACAAAAUCCCAAAGAUUGAGAUCCAGGGGUCAGCAUUUUAUGAAGCUCUUGGGAUAAGUCUGGCAGUUAGUUGGGUUUGAGAGUAACUGACAAAGGCUUCACAUCUCUAAAGGAUUUAAAGACAACAAGAAGCUUAGAAUUUGAAUAUGCCUAGAAAGAGUGAUUUCACUUAAAUUUUGCUUGAAGAUAAAUUCUAGAGAAGUUAAUUGUUUCCUUCCUAUUCAUGAAUACUGAUUCAGCACUCCUUUUUGGCUUCCAGAUUCUCAAUCUACUGUGGUGAUGCUAUUACUUUGAAUCCUCGUAAAAGGAGAAGACCGAGACCUGGCUCAUGAAGUGGUAUUGAUUUUCUGAGUUCCUGCUCGAGUUGCCAAAGAUACAACACUGUUGUUAAGGAGAGGAGAUGCCUUGGCCUUCAAUAUCACAGGAGGGUUCCUCGGACUUACCAAUUUGGGCUUCUUCCAGCGCUAAAAACCGAUUACAAAUAUGAAACAGAUUUUACUACUGGACUUGAAUACCAUAUUAAAAACAAGAAGAUCGUCAAAAUAAUUGAAAAAGAUCCUUACCAAAGAAUAGAUGCAAUGUGAAUGGCAAGAUAUCGAGGAGGUUUUGGUAUUUGGUCUGACACAUAACAGACC